UACGGCUAUAUCUCAUUCAAAGCACCGGUUCCCCCCGUACGAUCGCCGAAGUUAAGCAACAUCGAACUUGUUAAGUACCUAAAUGGGUGACCACUUGCUAAUACCAGGUGAUGUAAG